AAGAACUUUAUAGCUAAAUCAGUAUUUGUUUUUUUUGUUCUUUAUUUAUCUUUAAGCCUAAAUAAUUAUAUUGUUAAUGGAGAAUUGGAGAUACCUGGUACACACAGAGGAAGACCUGGUAAAACGAGACCAGAUGUAAAAGAAUUACUCAAAACUUUUAAAGCUAAUGGAAAAGCAAUUAUUUCAGCGUAUUAUGCAUCAUGGUCAUCAUGGGAUGCACCAUCGAAGUUGGCUCUUAUUAAUCCUGAAGUUAAUGUUAUAUAUGUUGCAUUCGGUAAAAUGGAUAUGGCAUAUUCUGGUUUACAAUCGUUAUUAUCUAAUCCAUUGAGUAUAAAACCUGAAACUGGUUUAGAGUAUACAGAAGUUAUGCAAUAUUUUAAUGAUAUUAAAAAAUUAAGAACAGCACGUCCAGACGUCAUUGUUCUUUUAUCUUUAGGAGGAGAUGCUUAUAUGCCAGCAUCUUUUGAAAGUGCAAUGAACGCUGUACCUCGUAUUGUUUCCUUGGUUGAUGAUUUAGGAUUUGACGGUGUUGAUUUCGAUUAUGAACCAAAUGGAGCAUUUGAUGCUUUAAAUACUCAAUCAUAUGCCGAUUUUUACGUUAAUUAUAUAAACAAAAUUAGAGAAUUUAUGUGUGAUGAUAAACUAAUUUCAGUUUCACUUUCUUCUAAUGGAGCUUUGAAUUGUAUAUUAAUGAAUCAGCCAAUAUGUACAGAUCCAGAUAAUAAGUAUAAUACAUCAUAUUUUCAAGGUUCGUCAGUAAAAAGUGAAUUACGAAGAGUUGCAGAAAUGGGAUCAGCUGGUUCAGGUAUUUAUUUAAUGAGUCAGUUAAAAGAGAAAAUUGAUAUGGUAUUUGUUCAUAUAUUUAAUUUUAAUAAUACAUCGGACAAUUCAGUUAUUAUUGAAUUAUAUGACUCAUGGUUCCAUUUUGGUGUAAAAUAUGAUUAUGUUAUAAUUGUGGGUUUAAAUUGUAAUGCAAAUGUUCACGUUUACCCUGCAUAUGAUUUAGAAUUUGUGAAGCCAAUUGGAGAAGCUAUCAAAAAUAAUAAUGCAGAAAUGAAAAGAGCUGAUGGUUUGGGAUUGUGGGUAUUAGGUCCUGUAACUGAAACUCCUGGUGAGCCUAUAAUUCAAAAUUUCAUUACCGCAUUACGUUAAACUUGUGCAUUUUUUGUGUGAAGCAUAUGUUU
rnacentral:lncRNA from 1 species